AGUCGAGCGAUGAAAUUUUGACAGAACCCUUCGGGGUGAAGACAAAAUGGAUUAGCGGCGGACGGGUGAGUAACACGUGAGUAACCUGCCUUAGACAUUGGGAUAGCCUCGGGAAACCGGGAUUAAUACCGAAUAAAAUCAUAGGUGCACAUGCACUAAUGAUCAAAACUCCGGUGGUCUAAGAUGGACUCGCGUCCCAUUAGCUAGUUGGUAGGGUAACGGCCUACCAAGGCGACGAUGGGUAGCCGGCCUGAGAGGGUGAACGGCCACAUUGGAACUGAGAAACGGUCCAAACUCCUACGGGAGGCAGCAGUGGGGAAUAUUGCACAAUGGAGGGAACUCUGAUGCAGCGACGCCGCGUGAACGAAGAAGGCUUUCGAGUCGUAAGUUCUUUUAUAUGGGAAGA
rnacentral:rRNA from 2 species